rnacentral:lncRNA from 1 species
CAGGCGCCGGCGACAUGGUGUCGAAGGUGGAGCUGGGCUGUGCGUAGGGAGAGUGGGUAGGCACGCUGGCGGCGUGCUCUGGGGUGUAGGGGCUGGCCGAGGCCGCGCGGCUGCUCAUCUGGUCCAUGGUGCUGCUCAGCAGAUUGAACUGGGCCUGGCGCGGGAAAGGGGAGGAGGGAGGGGGAAACACACACAGUCAGUCGUCCUGUCCCGUCUAGGAGGUGUCCUGUUACAGGAGCCUUAAAGGGCCAGCGGCUCCAGUCAUCCCAAAUAUUUCCCCGGGUCUCUCCCCCAUCCCAACAGGGUGGGUGCCCCUGAGGUGCUGGAGACCAGAUCCGGGCUCUCACUAGGUCUGGCCCUCUAGGUGGUGGGAUAAGGUGGGACUGCUGUUCAAUGGCUGAGCCCAAUUUUCAGGCCCCAGCUGAGGGAGGGGGUGCUGGUCCGGCCUCGAUGUCUCAGAUCCAGGGCAGGGCAGACCUCACUUGGUGGGCUGCCGAGGAAGACCCUCCUUCCAAAUCCAGAGGCGGGUGCUGGAGGAAGACUGCACAUGUAUAAACAGCGCUUUCCCUGUGACCCCCGAGGCUCAAUGCAAACAAACGCCUUUACCCCCCUCUCCCCGGGCCUGCGGCGGGCACCGUGAUUGUCCCUAUUACCCCUUUCCCCAGGCCUGCGGCGGGCACCGUGAUUGUCCCUAUUA